rnacentral:rRNA from 1 species
UCCGUAGGUGAACCUGCGGAAGGAUCAUUAUCGAGUUUUGAAUGGGUUGUCUGCUGGCUCGCAAGGGCAUGUGCACGCCUGUCUCACCCACUCUCAACUUCUGUGCACUUUUCAUAGGCCGGCUUGUGGGUGCGUUCGCGCACUUGUAGGUGUCGGGCUUAUGCUUUACUACAAACGAUUCAGUUUUAGAAUGUCAUACUUUGCUAUAACGCAAUUAUAUACAACUUUCAGCAACGGAUCUCUUGGCUCUCGCAUCGAUGAAGAACGCAGCGAAAUGCGAUAAGUAAUGUGAAUUGCAGAAUUCAGUGAAUCAUCGAAUCUUUGAACGCACCUUGCGCUCCUUGGUAUUCCGAGGAGCAUGCCUGUUUGAGUCUCAUGGAAUUCUCAACCUUCAGCUUUAUUGAUGAAGGCUUGGACUUGGAGGUCGUGCCGGCUCUCGUAGUCGGCUCCUCUGAAAUGCAUUAGUGCGAACGUUACCAGCCGCUUCAGCGUGAUAAUUAUCUGCGUUGCUGUGGAGGGUAUUCUAGUGUUCACGCUUCUAAUCGUCUUCGGACAAAUUUCUGAACUCUGAGCUCAAAUCAGGUAGGACUACCCGCUGAACUUAAGCAUAUCAAUAAGCGGAGGA